rnacentral:rRNA from 1 species
UACGUAGGUGGCGAGCGUUAUCCGGAAUUACUGGGUGUAAAGGGUGAGUAGGCGGGAGAGCAAGUCAGAUGUGAAAUGCAAAGGCUUAACCUUUGAAUUGCGUUUGAAACUGUUUUUCUUGAGAGUCGGAGAGGUAAUCGGAAUUCCUAGUGUAGCGGUGAAAUGCGUAGAUAUUAGGAGGAACACCAGUGGCGAAGGCGGAUUACUGGACGACAACUGACGCUGAUACACGAAAGCGUGGGGAGCAAAC